UUAUGCACUCAAAAAAUGGGUUUUGUAGCACUGUUCAUUAUACACAAAUAUAUUUAGUUACAUUAACACAUACACAUUUAUUUUUAAGACAAAAUACAAGUGUAAUGUGUUAUGCUAAAUCAAUUUGUUAUUCACUCUGGUUUACCUAAAUACCUAUCUUUAAACUAAAGUAAUUGGUUUACUUUGCGAUAGAGAGUAGACCUAUUAUCAGGUUCAUAUUCCGGAACAGAGGGGGCGGUAAUGCUCCAUUAAGCUGGUUACCAACCGCUGGUAAAAAAGAAAGAAGAAGAAGAAGAAGAAUUUUUUUCAAACUAAAGGAUGUGACGUCAUUUUAACGACUUCCACGAAGACGGCGCGCAGGUGAUGGUGUGGUAAGUAAACUAAAUACGUUUAUUCUUCAAUCCAUCUUAAAACAUUGUUGAGGCAACUUUAUUUUAUGUUUAAGGCGAUGGUGUUUGUUUUUGAUGGUGAUGAUUUCACGUCAUUUGUGCAGCAGUGAGGUAAAGUGUGUGAUUUGUGCGUUUCAAAUGUAAUGGAGUGCUUCACGCGAUCUGUUGUGUGACGUGUUUAAACCGUAUUAAACGUGAUGUACUCGUGUUUAAACAGUAUUAAACGUGUUGUUCAAUUUCGGGCCAUUAUUAGUGUUUUAUGAUAGCAGCAGUGUUGUAAACUGCGUGAUUUGUGCGUUUCAAAAUGAACGGAUUGCUUCACGUGUUCGUGUCAUACCACAAUGACUUCUCCAGUCUGGCUAAAAGUUACAAAAGGUGAUCCUUCAGUAUGCCAUUCCUACUUCAGUGAGUGACCUGUCAAAGGAAAUAGAAAAACAAUGUAAUCUACAAGGACAUUUAAGGCUGCAGUUCAUGGAUUCUGACUUGGGCAAUUAGUUUUUAAAUCUCAUGUACACAUCUGAAAUUCAAGACAAAAGUACACUAAAGGUGGUAUUCCUGACAACACCAAGUGAUUGUGACAACUUGCCCCCACCACAACUGAACAGUUCUCAAAAGGAGUACCUGCUCAUCACCAGCUCUUUCACUUUCAUCCUGUGACACAGUCAUUUUUUCAACCCAAUCUACAUCAUUAAGCUCUGACUGUGUUGCAAAAGUGUGUCUUGCCAAAUAUAUAACAAAACUGAGAAAAAUUGGCUGUAAUGAAGUGAAAUUAAAUUUACUCAAGCCCAAACCAGCUGGAAUUUCCAGUGCUGUUUAACAUAUAUAUAUAUAUAAAAAAAACAUGCAAUGCUGAGGUGAACUACUGCCCUUAACAUCCACAAACGGAGACAUCCAAAACACUGGAAGUAGUCAGUUUAAUACUUCUGUCUGAAAUUAAAAAGAACAAUAAGAAAACAUUAUGAAUGCUGAUGGACAAGACCUUUUCUAUCAGGAGACAUGAGGUUGUCAAGGAAUCGCCUUCAAUAGCAGAUUUCAAAACUAGAUGGCCUGCUCUUUUCAGAAGGGAAGAGAUUUGUGCACAGUUUAAAAGAAUCACAACAGCCACAUUGGUGUCUACAUACUUGGCGAAGAUGAAUCCAUAUUCUGCAAAGCUUAUAAGGAUCUAUGCAAAACGAGGAGUCGUCAAUGGACAGAGAAUUAAAAACCUGCUGGUCUCCACAACACGGACUGACAACAUUGAUCAGACUCCGAUCUUUCUUUGUCUACCUGAAUGAAGACCCGACCAGUCUAAUUAAAGAGUAUUUGGAUACAGAUGCACCCAGUACCCAGGAGGCGAUCCAGAAGAUGGUAAUGGGAGUGCUUGUUGUAAAAAUGUAUGGUUCAGACAUCGAAGACAGCCCAGCAGAUGUUGGAGUGUUAUUAAAGGGAUUAAGAGUUCUCGGACCUCAACAACAUUGUGUAUGCAACAACCAUGCUGAUGGGACUGAAAUAUGAACUGAACUUGAGCUACUUUCCCAAAUUCAGGUACACUUUUGAAGUAUUGCAGUUGUUGUUUCUGGAGCUAGAUGGGAAGUAACUAUCUCAUAAAGUUCAGACGCUGAAGACCAAGCCUUUUGCAGAUGUUUUGAGAAAGGAAUGUUUUAAUAUUUCAUAUGUAAAUGCCAUGUUUUUGAAAUGGCAGUACAAUAACAUUCAGGAAGUAAGCAGUGUCGUCAAUUUAUUUUGAUAGUUUUGCAGUGUGUUUCUAUUUAAUUAGAUUAAUGUAGAGUUGUUUAAAGCUUUGGCUGUACGUAAAUGGUCCUGCAUCUAAUUUGUCAUGGAAUGUUAACGUUUAUAAUGUUUUUACAGUACCAUUUAACUUAAAAUUAUACCAAAGUUGUUGAAAAAUCUUUGGAAGUCGCAUGUGCCAGCUCUCUGAAUGGAGAGCAACCUAUUUUGUCAGUUAGCAUUACAGUUGUGUAAUAAUGUUGUUUAAUUAUACGUAUCCGGGGGCUUGAAAAAACUGCCUGAAUGGUGCUUCGUGCAUUUCAUUUGUCAGUAAGUGUAAAAAAUUGUAAUGUUAUAAGGUUACAUUGUAAUAUCCAAAGUCCUUGAAAAACUUUGCAAGUUUUUCAAGUUGAUGAGUGCAUCUCAUUUGUCGGUAUAUCCUUUACGGUAUCUGUAGUUUAAGUGCAAUAAACAUGGCUUGAAGAACUGGUGUCUGAGAAUCUUUUAUGAAUAAAAUGAAUGUUAUAUAGAGUUUAUUACAAAAAGUAUAUUUUUGUGUGUGAUUUAACUUGAAAUAGAAAUUGUUGUGUUAAAGUAAAUAAAAGUAAUUGGAUGGAACCACUGUCCACAAUGUAAAUGAGUUGUAUGAAUAAACUACUCUUGAUUUGGACAAGCAAAAAAUAUUUGAUUAGUUUGUACAAGUUAAACACAUGUUCAGAAAACGUAACAAUCUUAAGUUAUGGAUAAGUAACUAAGAUAAUUUUGUUAAACAUUACCACUUCACAUUAGUUAUUUAUUAUUCAAUUGUGUUGCUGCAACAAAAGAAUUUGGCAUUGACUGAAAACAACCCUUAAAUGUUAAUAAAAACUAACUGGGUUGUGUGGAACCACUGUCCACAAUAAAAUUGUGUUCGUUUAAAGUAUCAUUUU